rnacentral:lncRNA from 1 species
GAACCUUUGUUUUAGACUAUCUUUUUUUCUGGUUUUAAGCCACGAUGCUACUGUUUGUGUCGUUCCAUUAUCUUUUGAUAACCAUAUACACUCUAGGCCAUAACAAAAAACACAGCAUCAUCAGUUUGGACUAAGAUGAGCAGUACAAAUCUUUCAUGAGAUCGUGUGGUGCUCAAACAAAUGUAAAGACAUCAGACAACAACAUUGAGUACUCAUACAGGCAUACACCAUGUGUAACUAUUAACAAAUGGGAGUGUAGUGCUCCAAUUCCUUAAGAAGCGAAGGCUGUAAGUUAUAGAAAGUUGGCAGUGAUUUAGUCCAAGCAUCCAGAAAUGAACUAAAUCAUUAUUAGGUACAUAUAAUGAGAAGAACAAUAAAAAUUGUAACAGUUAAGUAUUAACAUGAGGGUAUAAAAAUCCAAGAACUAACAACUCUCUUGGGCCACUGCCAGAUUAUUAUUUUGUUCUAGAGUAUUUCCAGAUUUGUCGGCACGGCCUUGGGCCAUUAUCAUAUCCUGACCUUGUUGUGUUUAAUGCCUACAUUUAGGUUAUCGUCUGAAAUCUGUCACCAGCAACAAGGCUACAAAAGGCUCUGCAUUGGGGUAUCAUCAAUUUUCACAAGAAAACCUAGAAAAAAUAGAGUUUGUAAACAGAGCAGUCUGUCGAUCAAUGUUCGACAAUGAUCAAGAAUGCAUAGUAGGAGAGUUCCAAGAGGAAACAGAGUCCUAGAAAUUUGCAAGGCUCUGUGUAGUUUGGGACAACAAAAACAAAACAUAUGCCUCUCAUAUAAUUUGUUUUGUUCAAUUUAAAAAUGUAUCUUCAAUCAUGGAAAUAGAUAAAUUGCCAUAGGCAUACUCCCAAACUAUGUGUGCCUCACAGAAGAGGCUCGACAAGAGUCAAAACAUAUGAACAACGAUGACCGGAGCAUCUGCAUGAUUUUAAUAGAAGGCAUGAGAAUAGAAAGUAUAGCUCUGCAUUUACCUUGCAUGAUGAUGCCACACAAUUAAUACAAAUUAACUGAAUUAAAAAAAUCAAGGCAACAUACUUCUUUCAGUGGUUGUAGCAUACACAUUGGGGUUGGUCUCUAACAAAGCACGUGAACUGAACUAACAAAGUUGAAAUAAGAUGAAGUCAAUUAGCAAAACGUUGUUUUAUCAGGGUGAUAAUAAAGAUACAAAUUUGACCUCAAUGAUGAUGUAAGCCCUCACAUAUAUUUUAUGGUAGUUUAGUAUUAUGUUUCCCUUCUGGGAUAAUCGAAGGUAAAUAUCUUAUCCUGGUAUUAUGCAUACAUCUAGUAUGACUCUCGGCCAUGCUUUUCUCAUGAACAGAUUGUUGCUAGAUAAUAUCCAAGUCUAGACUCUAGAUUUAGAAGAUGAAACAGAGGUAGAAAUAGUAGGAAAUGCUUUUGACAGUUCACACCAACAGAGAUUCAUGUACACCAUGGUUGCUUAUAAACUGGUCCAUACCAUAGACCACCCAAUUGCAGAUAUAGGAAAAAGAUUGGAAUUGUUGUAACUCGAGUGACGGUUCAACUGACAUAGACAUACCUUGCCUGGACACUGAGACUGUCGGGAUAGAUGAGAUGAGGGCAGUGACAAAUAUCAAGGAUGUGAACAAUUGCUGCUUGCAAGGCACAUGGAUGGUGGGGGACGAGAUUGUAGGCCAUGCUUGUGUUCAACUCACAUCACAGUGUUGCACCUUCCUGGAUCAAC